rnacentral:rRNA from 1 species
GACGAACGCUGGCGGCGCGCUUAACACAUGCAAGUCGUGCGGUACCGAUGGCAAGUCUUCUUGACGAGCCUUCGGUAUAGCGGCGGACGGGUGAGUAACACGUGAGUAGCUGUCCUAGGGAGGGGGAUAACGCCUGGAAAACGGGUGCUAAAACCCCAUAAGCCUCGAAAGAGGUAAAAGUGCAUCACUGCAGUCCUAGGGUGUGCUCGCGGCCUAUCAGCUAGUUGGUGAGGUAAGGGCUCACCAAGGCCAAGACGGGUAGCCGGCCUGAGAGGGUGUACGGCCACACUGGAAUUGAGAUACGGUCCAGACUCCUACGGGAGGCAGCAGUGGGGAAUUUUGGGCAAUGGGCGAAAGCCUGACCCAGCGACGCCGCGUUGGGGAUGAAGUCCUUCGGGGCGUAAACCCAUGUUGUAGGGGAAGAAGAAAGUGACGGUACCCUACGAGAAAGCCCCGGCCAACUACGUG